GCCGCGGUAGUGUAGUCUGGCCAACACGCAGGCACGUGGUAAACGCCGGCCUGUGGAGCCGGUGAACCCGGGUUCAAAUCCCGGCCGCGGCCCCA
rnacentral:tRNA from 1 species